rnacentral:rRNA from 1 species
GACGAACGCUGGCGGCGUGCCUAAUACAUGCAAGUCGAGCGGACCGGAUUGGGGCUUGCCUUGAUUCGGUCAGCGGCGGACGGGUGAGUAACACGUGGGCAACCUGCCCGCAAGACCGGGAUAACUCCGGGAAACCGGAGCUAAUACCGGAUAACACCGAAGACCGCAUGGUCUUCGGUUGAAAGGCGGCCUUUGGGCUGUCACUUGCGGAUGGGCCCGCGGCGCAUUAGCUAGUUGGUGAGGUAACGGCUCACCAAGGCGACGAUGCGUAGCCGGCCUGAGAGGGUGACCGGCCACACUGGGACUGAGACACGGCCCAGACUCCUACGGGAGGCAGCAGUAGGGAAUCUUCCGCAAUGGGCGAAAGCCUGACGGAGCGACGCCGCGUGAGCGAAGAAGGCCUUCGGGUCGUAAAGCUCUGUUGUGAGGGACGAAGGAGCGUCGUUCGAAGAGGGCGGCGCGGUGACGGUUCCUCACGAGAAAGCCCCGGCUAACUACGUG